UUGAAGCUAAAUGCUCUGGCUCGGAUUGAUACAUUUUCUCUCCAUCUGAGGGUAUAUGUUCUUGCUCACAUAUAUCCAGUUUCUCUCCGCCUGAAGGUAUAUCCUCUGGUUCGGAUUGAUUCAGUUUCUCUCCACCUGAAGUUAUAUCCUCUGUCUCGGAUUGAUUCAGUUUCUCUCCGCCUGAAGGUAUAUCCUCUGUCUCGGAUUGAUUCAGUUUCUCUGCACCUGAAGGUAUAUCCUCUGGUUCGGAUUGAUUCAGUUUCUCUCCACCUGAAGUUAUAUCCUCUGUCUCGGAUUGAUUCAGUUUCUCUCCGCCUGAAGGUAUAUCCUCUGUCUCGGAUUGAUUCAGUUUCUCUCCACCUGAAGGUAUAUCCUCUGGUUCGGAUUGAUUCAGUUUCUCUCCACCUGAAGUUAUAUCCUCUGUCUCGGAUUGAUUCAGUUUCUCUCCACCUGAAGUUAUAUCCUCUGUCUCGGAUUGAUUCAGUUUCUCUCCACCUGAAGUUAUAUCCUCUGGUUCGGAUUGAUUCAGUUUCUCUCCGCCUGAGGGUAUAUACUCUUGCUCAGAUUGAUUCAGUUUCUCUCCACCUGAAGUUAUAUCCUCUGUCUCGGAUUGAUUCAGUUUCUCUCCUCCUGAAGGUAUCUUCUCUUGUUCAGAUUGAUUCAGAUUCUCUCCAUCUGAGGGUAUGUGUUCUUGCACAGAUAGAUUCAGUUUCUCUCCGCCUGAGGGUAUAUACUCUUGUUCAGAUUGAUUCAGUCUCUCUCCGCCUGAGGGUAUAUACUCUUGUUCAGAUUGAUUCAGUCUCUCUCCGCCUGAGGGUAUAUACUCUUGUUCAGGUUGAUUCAGUCUCUCUGAGGGUAUAUACUCUUGAUCAGGUUGAUUCAGUUUCUCGCCGCCUGAGGGUAUAUACACUUGCUCAGGUUGAUUCAGUCUCUCUGAGGGUAUAUACUCUUGCUCAGGUUGAUUCAGUCUUUCUGAGGGUAUAUACUCUUGUUCAGAUUGAUUCAGUCUCUCUGAGGGUAUAUACUCUUGUUCAGAUUGAUUCAGUCUCUCUGAGUGUAUAUACUCUUGCUCAGGUUGAUUCAGUCUCUCUCCGCCUGAGGGUAUAUACUCUUGCUCAGAUUGAUUCAGUUUCUCUCCACCUGAAGUUAUAUCCUCUGUCUCGGAUUGAUUCAGUUUCUCUCCACCUGAAGUUAUAUCCUCUGUCUCGGAUUGAUUCAGUUUCUCUCCACCUGAAGUUAUAUCCUCUGUCUCGGAUUGAUUCAGUUUCUCUCCGCCUGAAGUUAUAUCCUCUGUCUCGGAUUGAUUCAGUUUCUCUCCUCCUGAAGGUAUCUUCUCUUGUUCAGAUUGAUUCAGAUUCUCUCCACCUGAAGUUAUAUCCUCUGUCUCGGAUUGAUUCAGUUUCUCUCCGCCUGAAGUUAUAUCCUCUGUCUCGGAUUGAUUCAGUUUCUCUCCUCCUGAAGGUAUCUUCUCUUGUUCAGAUUGAUUCAGAUUCUCUCCAUCUGAUGGUAUGUGUUCUUGCACAGAUAGAUUCAGUUUCUCUCCGCCUGAGGGUAUAUACUCUUGUUCAGAUUGAUUCAGUCUCUCUCCGCCUGAGGGUAUAUACUCUUGUUCAGAUUGAUUCAGUCUCUCUCCGCCUGAGGGUAUAUACUCUUGUUCAGAUUGAUUCAGUCUCUCACCGCCUGAGGGUAUAUACACUUGCUCAGGUUGAUUCAGUCUCUCUGAGGGUAAAUACUCUUGCUCAGGUUGAUUCAGUCUCUCUGAGGGUAUAUACUCUUGCUCAGGUUGAUUCAGUCUCUCUGAGGGUAUAUACACUUGCUCAGGUUGAUUCAGUCUCUCUGAGGGUAAAUACUCUUGCUCAGGUUGAUUCAGUCUCUCUGAGGGUAUAUACUCUUGCUCAGGUUGAUUCAGUCUCUCUGAGGGUAUAUACUCUUGCUCAGGUUGAUUCAGUCUCUCUGAGGGUAUAUACUCUUGCUCAGGUUGAUUCAGUCUCUCUGAGGGUAUAUACUCUUGUUCAGAUUGAUUCAGUCUCUCUGAGUGUAUAUACUCUUGCUCAGGUUGAUUCAGUCUCUCUGAGUGUAUAUACUCUUGCUCAGGUUGAUUCAGUCUCUCUCCUCCUGAGGGUAUAUACUCUUGCUCAGAUUGAUUCAGUCUCUCUGAGUGUAUCUGCACUACCUCCUCACUGUAUAAUAUGUCUUGUGUCUGGGGAAGUUCAGUGUGAGACUCAAUUUGAAGACUCAGUACUGACUCGCUCUCAAUCAUCUGCCCAGUAA
rnacentral:lncRNA from 1 species